rnacentral:lncRNA from 1 species
CGACAACUCCCUCUGCUACCUCGGAGGCGAGACCCGCAUGGUCAUCGUCGACCGCCACUCCUCCCUCGCCGACCUGUCCGCCAAGCUCUCCCGCGACCUCCUCGGCGGCCGCCCUUUCUCCCUCAAGUACCAGCUCCCCAACGAGGACCUCGACUCCCUCAUCUCGGUCACCACCGACGAGGACCUCGAGAACAUGAUCGAAGAGCUCGAUCGCAUCUCUGCUGCCACCGCUGCCCUGGCAUCCUCCAUAGGCGGCGGCUCGGCACGCUCCCCCCGCCUCCGGCUGUUCCUGUUCCCGUCGAUCUCCGAUUCGGCGCCUUCUUCCGCUAUCGGGUCACUCUUGGACGACUCGAAGUCGGAGACUUGGUUCGUGGACGCCCUCAAUAGCGCUAUCGGCGGCAUGGGCGUGGACGCUCUCUCCACCGACUCAGCCUCUGUAAACUGCCUGCUUGGCCUCGAGGACGACUCCUCCGUCCACUCCCGGAGCGGCGGCGGCGGCGGCGGCGGCCACUCGGAGGCCGAGCAGCUCGUCCUCCCCCGCCCCGACUCUUCCGGCAAGCUCGUUCGACAUGGCCAGGACGUCCCCGGUUCGCCGAUGCUCGAUCAGGCUUCCUCCUUCGGGUCCACCUCGUCGGCUCCAUCCCUUUCGAAUCUCCCACCCAUCCCCGUUCCCACCGAUGGUCGUGCUGCCGCCGAGCAACGUAUCAGCGGUAUCGACGACCACUUCGCCCACAUGGGUCUCUCACCCGACUCCGCCACCAGGCCCGACGAGGGUUUCAAAGAGCCAAGAUACGCUCACCACCACCAGCCCCCUCCUCCCAUCCCUCUUCCGACUGCUU